UACGUAGGGUGCGAGCGUUGUCCGGAAUUACUGGGCGUAAAGAGCUCGUAGGUGGUUUGUCGCGUUGUUCGUGAAAACUCACAGCUCAACUGUGGGCGUGCGGGCGAUACGGGCAGACUGGAGUACUGCAGGGGAGACUGGAAUUCCUGGUGUAGCGGUGGAAUGCGCAGAUAUCAGGAGGAACACCGGUGGCGAAGGCGGGUCUCUGGGCAGUAACUGACGCUGGAGGAGCGAAAGCGUGGGGAGCGAACAGG
rnacentral:rRNA from 1 species